rnacentral:tRNA from 1 species
GCGGUUGUGGCGGAAUUGGUAUACGCGUAACGUUGAGGUCGUUAUGGGGUAAAACCUGUGGAAGUUCAAGUCUUCUCAACCGCACCA